CCGGAUCUUUUUUUUUUUUUUUCAGACUAACACCUGUCAACAGAGGACACCAAUGAACCCAGCAAGUAGAAAGCAGAAGACCAGAACAUCCAUAAACUAACACCUGUCAACAGAGGACACCAAUGAACCCAGCAAGUAGAAACGAGAAGAUUAGCACAUCCAUAAUGACACCUUGUGAUCCUAUCUUGGAUUGGAGAAAGUCAAGAAUGGCCCGCUAUUAAAGGGUGGAGUACUGUCCUAGAUGAGAGCAAAUAGGUGCAGAAAAGGGUGGAGGAGGUCAGAUCUUUUCCGAAUAACACCUAAGAACACCUGCAACACCUAUGAUUGGCACUGGACUGAAGUAAAACAAGAUCUUCAAGAA